ACAAGAAAUAACAAACAACCUAACUCAACCAUCUCUCACUUUCACUCUCCCUCUCCCUCCCAUCCCCUCCCUCUCCCUCUCCCUCUCUCCCAUUCCUUAACUACCUAACCACACUGGCCAUCAUAUCCCACAUCCUGCUCUUCUUAUCCCAGUGCCCUCUCUCACUCUCACUUUCUCACUCUCUCUCAGUCCCGUCUUAAACUUUACUCGUGUCGCAUCUCCACCAGUCAGUCAGUCAGUCAGUCAGCCAGCCAACCAACCAGUAAACCAGUCAGCCAGUCAAUCAGUAAUCCGAUACGCAUGCACACACGCACGCACGCACGCACGCACGCACGCAAAGUGAUAGUUAUUACGUGUGGAAAGAGAAUUGCGUGUUCUGCUACUUCUUCUAAUACUACUAUUACUACUACUGCCGUGAAGAGAAAGCCUUCAGGUUGUUGAGAAAUGAGCCAAGAAUCUUCAGGGAGACCGCAUCAGUAUGGUCAACGCUAACACCUAUAGAUAUGUGCUCUAGGUAGGUCUAUCUACUUCUGUCUCUGCACCGACACACGUCCUCCCUGCACGAGUGUCCUCAGCAAAGUGUCCCUGUCGUCCUCAGCUAGUGCCUGGCUUCCUGCCCUGUCCAUCGUCAUCCAUUAGUGACGGCGUUAAGGGCGGCCUCAUCUCAGCCUCAUGUCACAGCAAGCAUCCUUCAUCUCCUUACAUCAACAUUAUCUCAACACCGACCGGACAAGACAUUCGCUGACUUAGGCCUCGUCUUGGUCCUCGCCCUCACCGCCAGCUCCUUUCCUUCCUCAUUGACAAACUCGCUUGCACAACAACAACUUCUUUCACCCGCCUGAUGGUAACAAUGUGUAUGUAUGUGUAUGCAUGUAAUUAACGUUAAUUUAUAUCUUUUUCUGUGUGAUUAUGUAUAUCUUUGCAAACGAUCAUUCACAUCAAAGCGUGAUUGCUCUCUGUGUGACAAUGGCUCAACUCAAGCAAGU